GUCCAGUUCACUCCACUAUCAUUCCUUCUCCCAUACCCCUCCCCUCCCUUCGAUCCCCUCUGUCUAAUCCAAAGUACUUCCAUUCUUCCCCCACCCCAUUUUGAAUUAGCACCACAUAUCAGAGAAAAUAUUCAGCUUUGUUUUUUUGGGGAUUGGCUUAUUUCUCUUAGCAUAAUAUUCUCCAAUUCUACUCAUUUACAAGCAAAUGCCAUAAUUUCAUUCUUCUUUAAGGCUGAGUAAUAUU
rnacentral:lncRNA from 1 species